CAAGGAACGGAGUGGCACGUGAGAGCAAACAGACGUGCCGCCCCUGCCACAGCGCACUAGGAUUUGUUCUUUGCGCAGACAACUGGAGAGGCAGAAGCCUGGGGGCAUACGUUCUCCCCAGCCCCCCUUCCCACUCUUCCUGACAUAUGCGCCCUUGCCCUGGCGGCAGGUAGACUUCAGACCCUUCUCUUCAUUGGUCUCAACCUAGCUACAGACUGAGUUCACUCAGCCACUUCUUUGCCAACUAAGGAUCCUGCCCUUAAGGAACCUACUGGGUGACAUCGCCCAAGAGGUGCAAGAACCCGAAGCUCUGGGUCACACAGGUCUCCUGGGUCAAACAGCUCUCUGUUUUCCCAGGGACAUGGAGGGGCUCACGGUUCAGGAUGGCUAGUGGGGCACUCAUUUACCUCCUCCAACCAAAUCCAAGUGGAUCCAGAAAGGAAAUAGUUUGGCAGUCCCAGAGCAGCAUGGGAAAGGUGAGAAAUGGAAAACUAGGGAAAGAAUCUGCAUAAGACAUAAAGAUCAUGGGACAGAUGGACAAUGAAACCUCAGACCAAGGGACCUGCACCACAUGCAGGAGGGAAAGGAGGCCCAAACACCUGAGCCUUCCUAGGAGGACAGCACUAGGUGAGAGGCUGCAGUGUGGGCACAGGCCAAGAACAUCUGGGUAAUUAACAGCAUCAGGGUGAGCAGAUUGACUGUGCCCCACCCUCCCUCCACCAAACACCACUUGGCAUUGAAUUCCAUGUUUGCCUGGAGGUCAAGGUGCAAGAACAGCUAAAUGGAGUUCUGAAACUGCAUGGUAGGCCAGAGAAAAAGGGCAGCACCCCAGGCAACUUAAGGAUCCCAUGGGGAAGCAGAACCCUUUACUCAGAAAAUCAGAUCCACCAGUGCCUCCUGGCCACAGGCCUCUUUCACUUGCCCACACGUCACAAUCACUGUAGACAGGGUUCUCCAGCACAAAGCUUUCAUGCAUGGCUAAGCCAACAGGAAUUCCCACUUAGCCUGAGGAAGGACAUUCUAGGAAACAAUUUUGUCCAUAUCCCUCCCCCCACCAUCUUCAAAUAUGAAGAGGCAACAAAGAAACACUAAAAAUGCAAGAAUCCAAUGCACCAAAAGAGAGACACCAAACUCAACAAACAAAAGAACCAACACAGGAGGACGAUGAAGUAAUGCAGUAAACAGAAGAAAAAGGUAAAACCGCUGUAGUUUCUAUUUCCAGGGAAAUUUGAGAGGACAUCAAUUUUUUAAAAGAAAUAGGUUCCCGAGAAAAGGAAAUCUUUUCAGUUUUGGAAAUUGUCAACUUGAUGGGCAAAUUCUGAAACCACUAAUUAAUAGAUUGAAUAAUGAGGGGAAUACAGUGACCUGGAAGUUCAUGACAAAGGAGUUUCCUGGAACCCAGUGCAAAAGCACAAAGAGUUGAAAAGGAAGAAAAGAAAGGACCUCUGAGCUGAAGAAGAUGGAAACGUUUAGACUGCAACAUCCCAGUAGCUUUGGGUAGCAAGGAUGAAAAAUUGGCACAUGCCUGGUGAAAUGUCUAAACUCCAAGAAUGGAGGUCGUUUUGAAGGUGUAAGUAGAGCACUUAGGACAGUGACUACACACAGUAAAAGGAAGCACUAAAUAAGAAUUGGAUAAAUAUGGAAAGACCGUGGUAAAUGUUAACCACCAGGGAUGUGGGAGUGUAACAGCAGUGCCUGACCCUCCUCGAGGGGUCCAGAGAGCUGCCCGGCCGGGCUUGGGCAUCAUCGUGCUGUAAGGAGCUUCCAGACCCGGGUUCACUUGAGCGGCCGCUGCCGCCUCCCCGGGCCCGGGGCCUCCGCUGUCCGCCCGGUGCAUGUGAAGGACAUCAGGCUGCUGCCCCGGGCCCUCGGCUUGUCGAUUCCUGUCCGGGUAAUGCUGACAAGGACUGCGGUGUCACCAGGGCCCGGAGGAAGCUGUCCCAGCACGCCAGGGAUUUCACAAGCGAUUAGGAUUCUUUUACGGAAGCAGGAGCGGGGAGAGCCACAGUGAUGCCAUUUUAAAUUCGGCUCCAUUUCGACACAAACAGGGACAUUCUUUGCCGGUCGUGACUCAGUCAUAAGAUAAUUACAUCUAGGGACACAGCCUGAAGAUACCUGCAAGGACAUGCUCCUACAACAGCAGAAAGUCCAGAUGUCCCAAUGCCCAUAACAAUAUAUGCUUUCAAAAAAUUAUAGUUAUGCUUUGAUGUACUCACACACGAAGAUGUCAAGGAUAGCUUUCUUAAAUAAAUAGAAUAAUUAUUGUUGUCAUGCUGUCAGCCCAGCCACACGUAGGCACAGCUUAGUUUAGUCUUUACACAGAUAAGACCCCUGUAUAAGAGAAACUUAAGGACGGGGCGGUCCUCUGCUUGCUUUCUGAGGGUGCUCUACUCUGGAAUGGAGGAGGGGUUUUUUUGUUUGUUUUUGUUUUUGUUUUUUGUUUUUUGUGUUUUUUUGAGACAGAGUCUCACUCUGUCGCCCAGGCUGGAGUGCAGUGGCACGACCUCUGCCCACUGCAACCUCUGCCUCCAAGGUUCAAGUGAUUCUCCUGCCUCAGCUUCCUGAGUAGUUGGGAUUACAAGCACGCGAGCCACUAGCCCAGCUAAUUUUUGUAUUUUUAGUAGAAAUGGGGUCUCACCAUGUUGGCCAGGCUGGUCUUGAACUCCUGAACUCAAGUGAUCCACCCGCCUCGGCCUCCCAAAGUUCUGCGAUUACAGGUGUGAGCCACCACGCCAGGCUGGGAAUGGAGGAGUUUUAAUAAACUUGCUUCUUUC
rnacentral:lncRNA from 1 species